AUCGCUUCUCGGCCUUUUGGCUAAGAUCAAGUGUAGUGUAGUGCUUCUCAGAAUGUGGCUGAUGAACCAGCAAUAGCACCUGGGAACUUUUUGAAAUGACAAUUUCAAUUCCAGACUUUUCCUUAGACCUGUGAGUUAGAACCGCUGUCGGAUGAACCCACGAUCAAUGUUUUUACUGGCCCACCUGCA
rnacentral:snRNA from 1 species